CUUUAAAAAAGCUUCUCUCUCUUAUCUCUCUCAUAUCCUUUAGAGAGAGGAAGCUUUAUGUAUUUUUUGUUUUCCAAUUAAAAUCAGUUCUUUGCCGGCUAAAUCCGGAUAUGUACCUUCUCACCUAAGCGUGAGUUCUCUUUUAGCCGUUUUGGCUAUUUUGAUUUUGUUUCCUCAAUCCUUUUGCAGAAUCUAAAUUCUCUUCCAGUAAAGAAGAAUCAAAAUCCGAACGUUUAAUUGAGAGUUUUUAAGAUCAUUGGCUGCUCGAUUUCGAUCAUGAGAAGAAUAAAUCCUUCAUAUCCUAAUCGUGGCCGUAAUCGGAAUUGGAAGAAGGUAUCACCUCAAGGUUUCAAAUCGUGUUGAGAGGAUUUCGUUGGCUGGUGCAGAACAUAUCAAGAGAGUGUGUUUACGACUGAUUUGCCCUCUCGCCCGCUGCGUCUUCCCGUGUUUCAUAGAUCUGAUGGCUUGCUAAUCUCUGUUUUUUACAAUCGGAGAGUUUAGCAAAAGGUAGCAAAGCAAGGUGAUUGGAGUUUGAAGCUGAAGAUCGGUAAAAUCCUUGGUCAGAAAAAGCUUUUCUAUGGUGAAAGUCGAAGGAUUGAUCGGUGGUUCAGCUCGGUGGAGAUGGUGGUGGCUGUGCCUUUCCACUUCCAGCAUGCAUCAAUACACGUAUCUUCACACGUGUCCCUUUUAGACCUAUGUUCUCUUGUUUCUUCUUGUAAUUUUGGGCUAAUUGAGUUUAUCUUUUGUGUAAUUGGGCUCUUUAUCACCUUGUAAUCCUCUUUGGAUUUUAAUGAAAAGUUUGACGACAAAAAA